UUGUGUUUACGAAGCGUCAAGGUUACUAGAUACCCAGGUUCCGUGGAAACCAUUCGUUGUCCAUGUUGCUUGACGGGAUUGACUAAAGUAGAGGCUCAGUUCUCCAGGGGCAGUUGCAAAGAGGAUAGACCUGAGUAGAGGCCCGGAUCGGGGGGCUUGGGUACAGUCAUCCCAAAAACAAAUUCCAAGGCGCGUGGUAAAUCUCCGAAACGUAAAGUCACUGAGUGGUAAAAAUAUCCGAAUAUUGUAUAAUGAACUGACGAAUAGACCGUUCCAUAAAAUCCCCGACAAGCAGAUAUCUUGGAGAGUGUAGACAUGGAGCUGAUUAUUGUAAGAGUUUAUCAUUAUUGGACUUUCGAAAAACAUGUGAAUUGAUUUCCUACUGUAAAGACGAAAAAAGAUGCAAUAAAACCCACGAAUGAAAAUACA